rnacentral:Y_RNA from 1 species
GGCUGGUCCCAGUGCAGUGUUGUUGUCAACUGAUCACAGCCAGUUACAGAUUUCUUUGUUCCUUCUCCAAUCCCCCUGUUUCACUUGACUGGCCUAAA